UACGUAGGUGGCGAGCGUUGUCCGGAUUUACUGGGCGUAAAGGGAGCGUAGGCGGACUUUUAAGUGAGAUGUGAAAUACUCGGGCUCAACUUGAGUGCUGCAUUUCAAACUGGAAGUCUAGAGUGCAGGAGAGGAGAAUGGAGUUCCUAGUGUAGCGGUGGAAUGCGUAGAGAUUAGGAAGAACACCAGUGGCGAAGGCGAUUCUCUGGACUGUAACUGACGCUGAGGCUCGAAAGCGUGGGGAGCAAACAGG
rnacentral:rRNA from 1 species